GCGGGAUUAGUUCAUCGGUAGAAUAUCUGCUUUCCAAGCAGAGGAGACGGGUUCGAUUCCCGUAUCCCGCUCCA
rnacentral:tRNA from 1 species